rnacentral:rRNA from 1 species
UACGAAGGGGGCUAGCGUUGCUCGGAAUCACUGGGGCGUAAAGGGUGCGUAGGCGGGUCUUUAAGUCAGGGGUGAAAUCCUGGAGCUCAACUCCAGAACUGCCUUUGAUACUGAGGAUCUUGAGUUCGGGAGAGGUGAGUGGAACUGCGAGUGUAGAGGUGAAAUUCGUAGAUAUUCGCAAGAACACCAGUGGCGAAGGCGGCCCCACUGGCCCGAUACUGACGCUGAGGCACGAAAGCGUGGGGAGCAAACAGGG